rnacentral:rRNA from 1 species
UACAGGGGGUGCAAACGUUGCUCGGAAUCAUUGGGCGUAAAGCGCACGUAGGCGGUUCGUUAUGUCGGACGUGAAAGCCCUUGGCUUAACCGAGGAAGUGCAUCCGAAACUGGCGAGCUAGAGUACGGAAAGAGGAUCGCGGAAUUCCCGGUGUAGAGGUGAAAUUCGUAGAUAUCGGGAGGAACACCGGUGGCGAAGGCGGCGAUCUGGGUCGAUACUGACGCUGAGGUGCGAAAGCGUGGGGAGCAAACAGG